rnacentral:rRNA from 1 species
ACGGGUGAGUAACGCGUAGGUAACCUGCCUGGUAGCGGGGGAUAACUAUUGGAAAAAUAGCUAAUACCGCAUUGAGUAGAUGUUGCAUGACAUUUGCUUAAAAGGUGCAAUUGCAUCACUACCAUAUGGACCUGCGUUGUAUUAGCUAGUUGGUGGGGUAACGGCUCACCAAGGCGACGAUACAUAGACGACCUGAGAGGGUGAUCGGCCACACUGGGACUGAUACACGGCCCAGACUCCUACGGGAGGCCUCAGUAAGGAAUCUUCGGCAAUGGACGGAAGUCUGACCGAGCAACGCCGCAUGAGUGAAGAAGGUUUUCGGAUCGUCUUCCUCUGUUGUAACACAAUAACCAGUGUGAAAGUGGAAAGUUCACACUGUGACUGUAUCUUACCAGAAAGGGACGGCUAACUACCUGCCAACUACCGCGGUAAUACCUAGGUCCCGAGCGUUGUCCGGAUUUAUUGGGCGUAAAUUGAGCGCAGGCGGUUAGAUAAGUCUGAUGUUAAAGGCUGUGGCUUAACCAUAGUACGCUUUGGAAACUGUUUAACUUGAAUGCAACAUGAGAGAGUGAAAUUCCAUGUGUAUUGGUGAAGUGCGUAUAUAUAUGGAAGAACACCGGUGGAGAAAGCGUCUCUCUGGCUUGUUUCUGACGCUGAGGCUCGAAAGCGUGUCGAGAGCAAAGGAUUAGAUACCCU